CGUUAUCUAGUGUAGAAUCUGUCCGUUUGAUUAAUUGUAGCAUACUAUCUGAUUAUUUUUACUCUUUUUAAAAAUAAUCGUAUGGUGAUAAAGAUUAGGCUGAACGGCGGAGAAAGAAUAAAGCCCAAACACUGUUAUAAACAUGGCUUGCGUAAAUCGAGCUUUCGUAGAGACCAACCGCUGUGAAGAUAAGAACGGCGCGGUUUGGAAAAGAACGAUUAUGCAGACAGGCAAAAAGCCGGACCCUAUAUUUCGGGCAUAUUUCGACGUUUUGUUUUGGCGUUUAUUGAAAUCAAUAUUGUCGAUGUCUGGUUGCUGAAGUAACAUAGAUGAUGUUUAUUAAUUUUUUGGCUCUCACAUUAGUUUAAAUUAGUGAAAUGAUUGUUACCUAUGUUUCAAUUUUUUGUGUCUAGCGCGUUACCGUUGAGGCUGUCGUCACUCAGCUUAGGUAUGUCGACGUUGCUGUUUGCCGAGAGAUUAUGGUCUAAGAGAUGAUCUUCAAAAGGCAUCAACGUAACCAGAGCAACCCUGAUAUGUCACUGGCCUUUAACAUUUAUAAUGGGGACACUGUAUCUUGAACAGGAAACAGGGACGAAAAAAUCCUUGAUCUUUUCGCCGAUAUCGCUAAUAAAUACGCUAUGCUACAAACCGCCUCAGUACUAUAAAUUGUGUUUCUACCCAUUGCAGGCGCAUAUAAGGUCGCUCGUCGCGUCUGUUGAUUUUGGGGCAAAAGUUUGCUAGAAGCAGCUUGAUAGGAGCCGAGUCGAUCGACUUCAUAUUUUGCUUUUGAUAAUUUUUUAUGGAUUUCCUUCAUAUACUCAACAUGGUGGCACUCCUUUGUCACUUUGCAUUUGCUCUCGUAAUAGCAAUGACAAAAUAAAUAAAAAAAGAACGCUGAAGUACGCGAAUGCAUUUCAUGUUGUAAAAUGUUGCCGUUUAAGGGGUGAAAACAUCCUACACUAAAAAUGCGACGAACGAAAGCGCGACAUUAAACCGAGAACGAAGGAGCUAACGCCAUGGCUCUAAGCUUAUCUGACGAUCAAAGGCAAUACGUAAUACCAUUUUAAAAAUUGUAUAAAAAAAUCAGAAGGCCGUAUUCAAAACAGUUAACUAUAGCGAUGUUUUUUUUGGAAAAAUUGUUUCUUCAAAGGAUUUUCGCUUCAAGGAGCAGCGCGGCGCCAAAUCCUCAAGGUACAGCUGACGCACUUAUUAUGAAAUAUAUUGUGAAGUUAUUUAUUUCACAGAAACGAAUGCUACAGUGUGCUGUAUGAGUCACUCUAAUAUAUCUAUUUACUAUCUACCGCUAAGUCGAGGCCACAGUACAGCAAACGCACGAGAUAUAUAGCCAGAUCGCUGUGACAUUAUAGUACUUUUCACGUUAGUAAUUCCAGGUUGGUGAAUUCGGAUGUAAAAACUUGCUCUAUUAGUGACCAGUAGCCAAUAUUACAAAACGAUGCAUUUAUAAAAAUAAAUACAAUCAACCGUGACAUACGCGUCUUUUAAAUCUUGCGCAAGUUGAAAAAUGAAUGCUUUAAUAGAUCAUGGUAGUAAAAAAGUCAUGCUUUUGUAUUCAGUAGUUGAAAUGACCUGAGUGACACUAACAAGUCAUACAUAUUACAGGCAAAUAUCUUCGACUAAACGUCUACAUAUGUGGUUUUGUAAUUAGCGCUCGAGUAUCAAAAAAAAAGAUCAAGGCCAGUGUAAUUCCCCAAUAAUACCUUGCAAACAUUUGAAUGUGUACGAAUAUUUACGGUGUAUCAUCAUGAGUACCAUCUGCCUGCAAAUUUCGAAGGUAUUUUCUUUUCUUUGUUAACUUAUUUGUUGAGCUUCUCUUGGCGUACGGAGAAAUUCAUUGUUAUAAAGAAAAGUUCAUAGUUUAUUAACAUGCGCUUCUUUUUCUUACUCAUUUAUUUCGAAAUUCACCACAAAUUACGAUCGAUGCGUCUGAUUGCAGUCAAGACCGCCAGGAAACGUUCAUUUUGUUUUUGAUAGAAUCUUUGAGUUUUUGCGAUAUGAGCUGCUCUCUGUCAAAAGCGGUGUUUUAUAAAUGUGUUACCUCAUUAUCCGUUCUUUCAUUAUUCUCCGACGAUAUUCGCUCGACAUCUUUGAAUAUAUUGUCUACAGGGGAAGAUGGUGGAUCUCGAACCUUCAUCUCUGUACAGUAGAAAUUACGUUUUACUAAGGCAUUCGACAAAGACCAGUAAACCCAGGCUUCUUAGAAGGUAUUUUUAUCAAACCGAUUCGUUUUUUGUAUCCCUCUCAAUAAGCAUCUAACAGCAAAAUCAUUGUACACAAGAGUCGUUUUUCUGCCGCGUGUUUGUAACGGCUCAGCCUCUUGACAGAGAAAGUUUCUGUUUGAACUUUUCAACUGCUUUCGUCCAGUUCACUCCGUAAUAUCCUGUAGAAUAUUAAGUAAGAAGUUCUGACAGGUAGUCCAGGUCUUUACUAGUCUUCAGGACCCAUUGUGGUCUAGGUCAGAAUUCGGGGAUGGACACAGUUUAUUUCGUGCUGGGAGCCAGAUCUAAUGGAAUGCCUAGCCGUGAUUCUGAACCUAAAACUCAAAAUAUAAAAAUGCCCUGACCUUUAAUUCAGUCUCGUAUUAGCUAAAUAUAUAGCGAUUUUUUAGAAUCGCCAGGAUCUUACACAACACAAUUGUUUAUACAAUAGCGUUUUAUGAUUCACCUAUUAAACAGAAAAUUAUACAUUUCGGACAUUAUUGAUAAAGGUCUCCAAAUUCAUUAAGCUCUAAUGACUAAAACCCAUUAUUACGCCCUGUAUGGCUCAUUGUUAUCAAGCCUGCAAUGGGUUUUCUGAAGCAGUCAAAAACCCAAUGUACUUUGUUGCCUAACAAAGAUAGAUUUGAAAAUGAAAUACUAACUAUUUCAUCUUAGUAUUUAAAGAUUAUAGAUAAGGGAACAUUUUGAAUUUAAAUUUUGAACGUCGCAUAUCCAAGAGCGGCAAAUAAAUGAAAUAUUUUUGAUAAAGAAAUGGGCAGUGAUUAUCGUAAGUAGUCUAAGAAGGGCAAAACAUUGAGCGUUCAUUUUAAAUUUGUCCCUUAAACAACGCAAUAAAAACUAGCGUUUCUAUUGGUCACGAGACUUGACCGAAACAUCAUAAUAAGGGUGGAGAUGAUAAAAAAAAGACGACAAAUGUAACUGACUCAAAAUUGUGAUCGAAAGUUAAAUACAUAUAGUUAAAUACAAGUAAAUUUAAUUAUAAAAAAUUCAAAUUAUUAAUAUUCAUAUUAUAUUAAGUAUUUUUUCCAUUUCACAAACUAUGUUCCAUGUUUGCGGUUAAAUCUUCCAAGUCAUUUUAGCUUAGCCUUAAUUUUGGUACGUUAUAUAACUAGAUGAAAUAUAAAGACAAUUUCCUAACAAUCGACAGCGUUAGGUGUAACCUUUUUUAUAUUUUAUACUAUAUUCUAUUGUAACGUAACUUUCUUUAUUGAGUAUCCAUGAAGAGUUAAUGUAGUUAAUGAAAUUAAUUCAUUUGAUGAGUUCUAUAUACACACUAAUUUAUUCAAAUAGCUCAUUCUGGCAACAACUGCACGUACCUUUAUAUAAAAUAUUGCCAGCAAUCAUCGGGCUUGAACAAUCUACAUAUAUAUAUAUAUAUAUAUAUAUAUAUAUAUAUAUAUAUAUAU